UUGUAACACGGGGAUUGGCUUAGAGUUCUAAAAUUUCUUUUUAAUUGCUUUCAGUAUGGAGGUUGUGAUUUCCAAGUCGUACAACCGUCUGCUAUGGCUUCCUUGAGAUGAAGCAUGACUUGCUGCAAAUGGAACAUACAGCUCUAAUGGAAUCCGAAGAUAUGUAGCUGUAGAGGUGAAGUCUCUGUGAGAGUGGUAAGAUAUCAUUUAAAGCGUUUGGCAAUCUGGCUCGGCAAGAUCAGCUUGGCAUCCCAGACAGUAAAGAGCUUAAUAGAAUGAAGGAAGAAAAGCUGAAUGAUGCAGUAUGGAGGUUGUGAUUUCCAAGUUGUAGAGCUGUCUACUGUGGCUUCCUUGAGAUAAACAUGACUUGCUGCAAGUGGAAAUUGAAAGUUUUAGAAAAGUUUUGAAACAUUAGCAAGGCUCAACAAUGAUUAGGGAAGUGAAAUUUUUUUGUAAGGUCCCUUUGCUUAAGUCGAGAAAGGAAAGUUGUUGAAUCUUUAUGUGGUAGUUAUUCUUAUGUUGGAUUGAACAUCAGGCGUAUGGACGCUUCUUAUGUUGGUAAACAUAUUUAUGAUAUGGUAGGUCCCUUUUAGCGCUAUAAUAAGCUGGGUAGAAAUCUAUCAUUUUAAGCUAUUUUAUUUUUAAGUCCCCCACCUAGGGCCCCCUUUC